rnacentral:rRNA from 1 species
AACGAACGCUGGCGGCAUGCCUAACACAUGCAAGUCGAACGAGACCUUCGGGUCUAGUGGCGCACGGGUGCGUAACGCGUGGGAACCUGCCCUUAGGUUCGGAAUAACUCCCCGAAAGGGGUGCUAAUACCGGAUAAUGUCUUCGGACCAAAGAUUUAUCGCCUUUGGAUGGGCCCGCGUUGGAUUAGCUAGUUGGUAGGGUAAAAGCCUACCAAGGCGACGAUCCAUAGCUGGUCUGAGAGGAUGAUCAGCCACACUGGGACUGAGACACGGCCCAGACUCCUACGGGAGGCAGCAGUGGGGAAUAUUGGACAAUGGGCGAAAGCCUGAUCCAGCCAUGCCGCGUGAGUGAUGAAGGCCUUAGGGUUGUAAAGCUCUUUUACCCGGGAUGAUAAUGACAGUACCGGGAGAAUAAGCUCCGGCUAACUCCGUG